UGGGUGUAUGCAAAUGGUGACUGGUACACUGUAGCAUAGCCUGUUCCGCUCUGAGUACUCUGUAGGAGUAGGUAGUUUAAGUGUGAGAGAAGGUGUGUGCAACAAUCUCUUUGCCUGUAUCACGGACUACUCUGCUCGUCUGGGAGAGAACAGUGCAUGUAUCUCCCUGGCUCAGCAUUCUGUCAGCAUCUGUAGCAUCCUCAGUCUGUUGCUAGGGCAACUGAGUCCAAGUCCACUGCCAGUCUAGGGUCAUAUGUUCAGAGAAGAAUACCUGGAAGAAGAUGAGGAACCACCUUUGCUGCUCAGCUCUUGUCCUUCUCACAGUGUUUUGCUCUGGAGGGACUGUAGCCGUGCAGUGUCCCUGGGGGGAGGGAUGUGUGUGUCUGCGGUGCCCCAGUGGCCAGGAGCCAAUCAAGGCUUGCGGGCAGGUCAAGGGACCAGGCGAGGUGGUGCAAUGUCAGUCUUGUCCAGCAGGCACGUUUUCAGACGGCUAUGACUCUGAUCAAUGUCGCCCACACUCCUCCUGCGGGGUCCUCAACAAAAUGGUUGUGACCUCUGGUACAUCACACUCUGAUGCUGUCUGCGGAGACUGCCUGUCUGGGUUCCACCCCACUGCUGGGAGGUCAGCCUCCACCCUGGUCUGUGUGAGAGCUCCCCCUUAUCUCUCCCCAGCCCCCCCGGCCCAGUCUACCCACGUGCGUGCAGUGCGUACGGUAGGUAAGGGUUUGGCGGGAAGUGGCGGCCUGUUGGUGAACGGUACGGCAGUGCGGAACCCGGAGGAGAAGAGUACAGAGUAUGCCGUGUUCGUCCUGGUGCCAAUCUUCUGUGUGAUGGGACUCCUGGGGAUCCUCAUCUGUAAUAUCCUCAAGAAGAAAGGAUACCACUGCACUGCUGAGAAGGAGGGAGGAGACGAGGAGAAUGCCACACCACAGAAAGAGGGUAACGGUUGUCCCUACAUCGUAGAUGAUCCUAAUGAAGACACCAUCAGUGUUCUGGUACGCCUCAUCACAGAGAAGAAAGAGAAUGCUGCUGCCCUGGAGGAGCUGCUAUUGGAGUACGAGAGUAAACAGAUGGACAUCAGCAAAGCCUCCGCAAUCAAGUUUCCGGUGCUGUCUCCUCUGACUCAGUUCCUCUCCCUGCCCAGACUGUGUCCUCACCAGUCUCACCUCCACACCAUCUCUGGUCUGUCUGGCCUGUCUGGCCCCCGACACGGCUACUGCUGCUCCCGCUGUGCCCAGAAGAAAUGGCCCCCCAUCCUCCUCGGCCCCCUCAAACCCCCACAGUCCCUCCUGUUACCCCCUCUGGACCUACAGUCCCUCCAGAAGACCCCUCUCCUGCCCCCGUUGACACACACCACUCCCCCCUAAGAUCUCCCAGACCCCCAGCCCUGGGUUAGAGUCACUCCCUAAGGGGGAGUGGAGGAUACCUGGGGAGGUGACCCGGUCUGUUGGGAGGUUUCAGGUGGCUCAGAUUCAGGAGCAGAGGCCUGGUUCCGUGGGGAUGACGUUCCGACCAGAGUUUAGUGACUCAGACUCAGUGGAAGACGCAUCUCUGCUGGGAGGGAACAAGUCAUCCUCGUCUUCUUCCUCAUCAGCUGCCAGGGGUACACAGGAGGUUAACAGCUAAACAUUUGCAGUGGUGAAUGCUGGGUAAAAAAUAACUCUACCUCGCUGAGCGAUGGAUGCGAUGGGAUUCCAAAACGGUGACCAGAGAGGUUGAUUUCCUCUUCUUUGGGAUUUGGGAAGUUAGCCUGGGUGCUUGUUGGGAACUUAGCCUGGAUACCAGACACAGGGAAACACUCAUAUUUAUAACACAAUCAACUUGUAUUUUAUCCUAUUGUUGAGCAAUAAUCCUCUGUCUUUAGUGGCAGGGAGGAGAAGAGAGAAGGAACAAACUAUUAAUUAACCCAGGCGUGUGGUUAUGCUUCCAUAAGACUCUGGACAGGUUGGAGGACCUUAACACUGUCUGCACUUGAUACUGCAACACACACACACACACACACACACACACACACACACACACACACACACACACACACACACACACACACACACACACGGUAGGUCUACAUUCACACAAACACACACACACACACAAUAACAAGUAUUAUAGAAAACAACUCACAUGUUUCGUCUAGAUAAAACUUUGAAUAAUUUUUAUAACAGAUUUAGCUAUUUAAACGAUUUAGCUCGUCUUGUGUUUGAAGCGCUGAUUAGCGGAAGUUUUAGGCCUUCUUAUGUUUUAGGUCUUCUUAUGUUUUAGGCCUUCUUAUGUUUUAGGUCUUCUUAUGUUUUAGGUCUUCUUAUGUUUUAGGCCUUCUUAUGUUUUAGGCCUUCUUAUGUUUUAGGCCUUCUUAUGUUUUAGGCCUUCUUAUGUUUUAGGUCUUCUUAUGUUUUAGGUCUUCUUAUGUUUUAGGCCUUCUUAUGUUUUAGGUCUUCUUGAUCGUGUUGAAUGUAGUCUUAUCUAGCAAAUACUUGGGGGUUGAGCUCCAACAUUGAGAGACAUAAUGAAAUGCAAGCAGCAUGAACUACAUGUUGUACUCUUCAGCUCUUAUAGAUGGCAUUUAAAGUGGAACUGACAGCAUUUUAGCAACAUGAAAUCUAAUUCAAACCAGUUCAUAUACACCACCAGGAAGAAUGUGACGCUUUAAAAAAAAUACAAAUCUAUCAAGCAAACGCUUAGAUAUGAUCAUUUUCAUGUUUUCAUAAUUUCUUUAAACGUUUGGUAAUUACAUACAGUAAGGCAUUUGUCAAACAAUUGUAUAGUAAUAUAUAGAGUUGAAAACGGUUUGGACAAUUCAUAGACACUGCAGUAAAUAAAACCUAAUUAAAACAUCUAUCUCAUCCAGGACCGGAGUCUACACAGACCGGUGCACCAGUAGGCCUUUAUGCAAACAAGCCAUUUGCCACACAGACCUGUCAUCAUUCACUUUGACCUGGACUGUGUGUUUACAGGCAGUAGGACCUGUCAUCAUUCAUUUUGGCCUGAACUGUGUGUUUACAGGAAGUAGGACCUGCCAUCAUUCAGUUUGACCUGAACUGUGUGUUUACAGGAAGUAGCACCUGCAAUCAUUCACUUUGACCUGAACUGUGUGUUUACAGGCAGUAGGACCUGCCAUCAGUCACUCUGACCUGAACUGUGUGUUUACAGGCAGUAGCACCUGCAAUCAUUCACUCUGACCUGAACUGUGUGUUUACAGGAAGUUACAACAGAGCGACUUUAGAUCGAUAGAACAAAAAGACACAAAAUACACCUGAAUGGAUUUCUACAAAUAUGUCAAUACCACAGGAGUCCUCUUACAUUUGGGAACUUUACAGUCCUAAUGAUCAAACAACCAUAAAAAGGCAUGCUCUCUUUCCCUAUAUGCACAUCAACAACAAGAUCAAUAGCUAAUGCUAGCCAGUGCAAGGUCAGCUACAAUCUAACAAAGGAACAUUAGAUAAACCCUCUCAAGCUUUUUCAGCUAGUUGACCGUCAACAUUUCACUGAGAAACGAUGGGGAAUAGUAAGUAGCCUGCUCGUCCUUCUGCAGCUCGCCUGCCAGUGCAUCCCAACCAAGCACCCAAGCUAACUGGCUAAAGUGGGCUAGCUAGCUACUUCCAGAGACAGACGAGAGCACACCUUACUCUGACCGUUUUGACUCACCCUAGCAGAGCUGGUUGCUAGGCUGUUUACAUGAUAUCUGGAGCGUUCGUAACUAAGUAUUACUUUUCCCCUGGCACACUCAGACAAGAGGGCUCUGAAAUCAGAGGAGAUAGCCCGAGUGAUAUAUUAUUAUUAUUAUUAUUAUAUGCUAACUGGAUAAUACGUCGCUCAAGUUCAGGAUAGCUAGCUAAGCAACGCGAUUCACAUUCUUGCUAGCUAACUAAAUGACACCUGCAUCUCUAGCUGUGUAGCCACCGAAAACAACAACAUGAGGGGCAAACGUCACUGUCACACACCCGCUCCUCCAAUGACAUAACAUCCUCCUAGCGGCUAGCUAGCCUAUUGGCCACGUUAUGACUGACUUGUGAUCAUUGCCGUUGCUAGUGUGAUUGUAUUGACAUUCCCAGUUAGUUAGUUAGUUAGUUACAAUCAUCCGUUUUUGAUACUGAAGGCAGCAAACAAUGUACCAAGAAAUGCAUUAGUGAAUUAUAUAUCAAUCGUGCAUUGAAAUGCAUCCAUCUAUUCUGCCAAUAAUGCCUUAGUGUACGUCAUGGAACGCUGAGUCAAAUACAACCUAUUUUUAAAACCUCUUAUCAAGUUGGGUUUGUAGCAUAAACUGGGAAUUUGAUAUGUUUGACUGAUAUUAUGAUUGCCUGUUUGUUUCAUAUCUGCAAAGUAGUUAAAACGCUGUCAGUUCCACUUUAGCUUAAUUUAGCUUCUGAUGAAAGUUGAAUGUGUAGUACUGAGCUGUAAAUGGAUGUAUAUAUUUACAUACGGCUGUAUAUAUUUACAUAUUGCUGUAUAUAUUUACAUAUUGCUGUGUAAAUGGCUGUAUAUAUUUACAUAUUGCUGUAUAUAUUUACAUACGGCUGUGUAAAUGGCUGUAUAUAUUUACAUACGGCUGUAUAUAUUUACAUACGGCUGUGUAAAUGGCUGUAUACUGUAUAUGUACAUAGGGCUGUGAAUAGACAAGGUCAAUUGCCCUGUUUUUAUUGAAGCUCUUAGAUGUGUACAGAGGAUGGUCGUGACAGGGAAAGGAAAGGGACAGGGCCAGAGUCAGGGACAGGGUCAGAGUCAGGGACAGGGACAGAGUCCGGGACAGGGAAAGAGUCAGAGUCAGGGACAGGGUCAGGGACAGUGUCAGGAUGUGGGUUUGCCAGUAAUUUUCAGUGCCUCUUUUGACACACUUAAAUCAGUCCCAGACAUUUUGGGGGAGGUGUGCUUUGUCCUGUGACUUCCUCUCUCCUGGCAUGUCACAGAUCUAGGAUCAGUUGACCCUCCCAGCUACACUGACCAUUGAUCAGUGGCAUCCUACUCCAUGUGGCAUUUAUCUCAAGCCAUGACCUCACUUCCUGCCUUGUGACGAUUGCCUAGCAACAGACAAAGUCUAAGUUAGUAGAAUAAUCAACUCGGCUCUUUUACCCCCACAGAUAAAGCACUACAGAUACACUAUUCAGAGUUUUCAUUCAAGUGUUGUUACUUAUUGUUACACACACACACACACCUGCACACACACA